UUAGAUUCAAGGAUUAAAGUAAUUUUUUUUUUGAUAAAUAUUAAUAAUUUUUUUAAUUUAAAAAUAAAAAUAUAACAAGUAAACUUUUGAUUGGAUGAGAAAGAUAUUUGCUUCCAUCAUUAUAAACAGAUUGUUAAAUCAAAAUUGUGAUUUAACCAUAUAAAAAUUAAUUGAGAUAAAUAUUUUUGGAAUGAUAUUUGACAAGUGACGUAACUGACAGUUGUUAUUUUCAAGUUUCAGUAAAAAUAAACAUUUUUUCCUUUUUAAUAAUAUAAAUGCAAUAUUUCAAAUGUGUCGGAUAUCAAGUCAAUAAACAAUAAAUUUGCUUAUUUUUUGGUGCACCAUAUCUAUUUUAUAGAAAGUAGAUAUAUUUUAGUCACAGUAUUUUAGAGUAUACAUAUCAAGAAAAUAUUGGAUUGUAUAAAAGAAACUCCUGGUAAGGCGCCCUCAAACAAAA
rnacentral:lncRNA from 1 species